rnacentral:rRNA from 1 species
CCUACGGGGGGCAGCAGUGGGGAAUAUUGCACAAUGGGGGAAACCCUGAUGCAGCGACGCCGCGUGAGUGAAGAAGUAUUUCGGUAUGUAAAGCUCUAUCAGCAGGGAAGAAAUAGCGACCUUUGGGUCGCCAGACGGUACCUGAUUAAGAAGCCCCGGCUAACUACGUGCCAGCAGCCGCGGUUAUACGUAGGGGGCAAGCGUUAUCCGGAUUUACUGGGUGUAAAGGUAGCGUAGACGGAAGAUCAAGACAGCGGUAAAAUUGAGAGGCCCAAACUCUUCGAGCCGUUGAAACUGGUUUUCUAGAGUGAGCGAGAGGUAUGCGGAAUGCGUGGUGUAGCGGUGAAAUGCAUAGAUAUCACGCAGAACUCCGAUUGCGAAGGCAGCAUACCGGCGCUCAACUGACGCUCAUGCACGAAAGUGUGGGUAUCGAACAGGAGUAGAUACCCGUGUAGUC